AUCUCAUAUCUUUUUUUUUUUCCUUUGGCUAGGGGCAUUUCUGCUCUCCGAAAACGAUGUCGUGUAAGGCAAUAUAAAACCACUUUAAGAAAUAGGAGAGAGUAUUUUAGGGUUCAUCAUGACGGCGAGACUUAACCAACAAAACUCCUGAGUAGGAAAAAGGGUCGAAUUCUUGCUCUCUGGAGACGGCGUCGUGUUGAGUAUAUUGAACAGCUGGAGAGUAGGAGAGUGUUUUAUCAGAAAGGAGGAUUUUAGGGAAGGAUAUCCAAAUUUGCGACGAGAUUUCCUCAGAAGAACAAGACCGUGUAACAGUGGGUGGCUCUGUCGCCGAGGUUGGAAUGGAGGCAACACAAUUGGAGGAGGAGGUUGAAAUGCAAAGCUUCUGAUGGAAGAGGAAAACACUGAAAUGGAGGCAGAGCAGACUAAGGAGAGUUUUAAGCAGGAGAAUGUUUACCUUGACACAAUUUGAGGAGGAGAAUUCAAGGCUUCUGAAGGAGGAGGCACAUUCUGAACCACUGGAAUGGCAAUUAAUGUAACACAAAUCUGCAGG